rnacentral:tRNA from 1 species
CUGUAGCUCAGUAGGAUAGAGCGAUUGCCUCCUAAGCGAUAGGUCGCAGGUUCAAUUCCUGUCAG